CUUCCCCGCCGGGCGGGCUUCCGCGAAUCCCUGGCACCUCGGCGGGAGACCAGCCGUGCGGGCGGCCGGGCCGCGCGUGCCCCGCGCCCGUCGAGUACAGGUUUCCCCGGGAAGAUUCGCCGGGCGAGGGACGGGGACCCCGUUCUCCCCCGCCUCGCCGAGUAGCUCUCGGGCACCUUAACUCAUUCUCGGCCACCGCUUAGGGCUUUAUAAGUCGUUUGCUGUACACCGCUGGCUUCCACGUGGGGGAAAAAUGCUAUCCAAAAUAGCUGCCAAGAGAAAGUAAGGCUGGGUGAGGUCGCUCUGUCCGCUAUAGACGGGCGUGUCAUGUUAUCCAAAGGGAUGGUUGGCUCCGAAGCCACUGUCUUCUCGUUCACAGGAAGGGGCAGAACACAGCCUGUGAAAGUGGGAAGAUGACAGGGCCUGGAGGAGGAAGACCCUGUUUCUGAGUUCUUAGAAGGAGAAUCUGGAAUACGUCACUUCAUUUCCUUCUGACCUGUAGAAUCUCCUCUGAGCGCACAUUGAGACCCCUGUGGACCCAUGCAGUUGGCAAGAAGCCUGAGGCCCUCCAGAAAGCAAGCAUUCCUGGGCACACUUGAACUCACCUGUAAAACACCUCCUUCUAAAGACUGCCACUGGAGAAAACGGCCGCUGAUAUCAUAGGAGGCAGCAACAAACUUCAGUUUUGUGUUCUGAU